rnacentral:rRNA from 1 species
GGGGUGCCUAAUACAUGCAAGUCGAGCGGACAGAUGGGAGCUUGCUCCCUGAUGUUAGCGGCGGACGGGUGAGUAACACGUGGGUAACCUGCCUGUAAGACUGGGAUAACUCCGGGAAACCGGGGCUAAUACCGGAUGCUUGUUUGAACCGCAUGGUUCAAACAUAAAAGGUGGCUUCGGCUACCACUUACAGAUGGACCCGCGGCGCAUUAGCUAGUUGGUGAGGUAAUGGCUCACCAAGGCAACGAUGCGUAGCCGACCUGAGAGGGUGAUCGGCCACACUGGGACUGAGACACCGCCCAGACUCCUACGGGAGGCAGCAGUAGGGAAUCUUCCGCAAUGGACGAAAGUCUGACNGAACAACGCCGCGUGAGUGAUGAAGGGUUUCCGAACGCCAAACUCUGUUGUACGGGAAGAAAAAACGCCGUUCCACUACGUCGCCAUCGUGACGG